rnacentral:rRNA from 1 species
AAUCAACGCUGGCGGCGUGCCUCAGACAUGCAAGUCGAACGAUUAAAGCUCUCUUCGGAGAGUGUAUAGAGUGGCGCACGGGUGAGUAACACGUAAGUAAUCUACCUUUGAGUGGGGAAUAACCCGGGGAAACCCGAGCUAAUACCGCAUAAUGCAGCGGCACCGCAAGGUGACAGUUGUUAAAGGAGCAAUCCGCUUAAAGAGGAGCUUGCGGCAGAUUAGCUAGUGGUAAGGUAAUGGCUUACCAAGGCUUCGAUCUGUAUCCGGCCUGAGAGGGCGGUCGGACACACUGACACUGAAUAACGGGUCAGACUCCUACGGGAGGCAGCAGUCGGGAAUUUUGGGCAAUGGGCGAAAGCCUGACCCAGCAACGCCGCGUGAAGGAUGAAGUAUUUCGGUAUGUAAACUUCGAAAGAAUGGGAAGAAUCAAUGACGGUACCAUUUAUAAGGUCCGGCUAACUACGUGCCAGCAGCCGCGGUAAG